AAAAUGCGAUACUUGGUGUGAAUUGCAGAAUCCCGUGAACCAUCGAGUUUUUGAACGCAAGUUGCGCCCGAAGCCAUCCGGCUGAGGGCACGCCUGCCUGGGCGUCACACAUCGCGUCGCUCCCCACCAUACCUCCCCAACGGGUUGGCAUGGUGUUGGGGGCGGAUAAUGGCCUCCCGUGCUUGUGUUUCGGUUGGCCUAAAUAAGAGUUCCCUUCGGCGGACACACGACUAGUGGUGGUUGAAUAGACCCUCGUCUUUUGUUGCGUGUCGUGAGCUGUAAGGGUAGCCCUCAUCAAAGACCCCAUUGUAUCGUCUUCGGAUGAUGCUUCGACCGCGACCCCAGGUCAGGCGGGACUACCCGCUGAGUUUAAGC
rnacentral:misc_RNA from 1 species